rnacentral:tRNA from 1 species
GGGUUUAUAGCUCAAUUGGUUAGAGCACUACCUUGACAUGGUAGGGGUCGUUGGUUCGAAUCCAAUUAAACCCACCA